GACGAACGCUGGCGGCGUGCUUAACACAUGCAAGUCGAACGGAAAGGCCCUGCUUUUGUGGGGUGCUCGAGUGGCGAACGGGUGAGUAACAAGUGAGUAACCUGCUCUUGACUUUGGGAUAACUUCAGGAAACUGGGGCUAAUACCGGAUAGGAGCUCCUGCUGCAUGGUGGGGGUUGGAAAGUUUCGGCGGUUGGGGAUGGAUUCGCGGCUUAUCAGCUUGUUGGUGGGGUAGUGGCUUACCAAGGCUUUGGCGGGUAGCCGGCCUGAGAGGGUGACCGGCCACAUUAGGACUAAGGUACGGCCCAGACUCCUACGGGAGGCAGCAGUGGGGAAUAUUGCACAAUGGGCGGAAGCCUGAUGCAGCGACGCCGCGUGCGGGAUGACGGCCUUCGGGUUGUGAACCGCUUUCGCCUGUGACGAAGCGUGAGUGACGGUAAUGGGUAAAGAAGCACCGGCUAACUACGUG
rnacentral:rRNA from 1 species